rnacentral:rRNA from 1 species
GACGUAGGGUGCGAGCGUUGUCCGGAUUUAUUGGGCGUAAAGAGCUCGUAGGCGGCUCGUCGCGUCAGCUGUGAAAACCCGCAGCUUAACUGUGGGCUUGCAGCUGAUACGGGCGGGCUAGAGUUCGGUAGGGGAGACUGGAAUUCCUGGUGUAGCGGUGGAAUGCGCAGAUAUCAGGAGGAACACCGAUGGCGAAGGCAGGUCACUGGGCCGCAACUGACGCUGAGGAGCGAAAGCAUGGGGAGCGAACAGG